GGCAAAGAAACAAGGGUACCUACCAUAGUACACCUACCAUUUUCUCCUGAAAUCACACUUGGUGGGCCCAAGUUUAAGCGGCCACUAGAGCUCCACGUGUCCACCCAGGCACUUCACCAACUCCACCUUCACCACGCUCUCUAUUUAUACAGCUCAGCACCUCACUCCCCUUCUCCCACUCACCCACACACAAAAACACAAACACAAUUAGCGCAAGCUUAAGCUGAUUGGCGCGAGCUUAAUCCCACCAUUAGCCAAGGGUAAUUAAGCAAGAGAGGAGGAGGAGAUGAUGGCGAGCGACGGGAGCAGCACGAGCGGCGGGGCGGGGUGCGCGGUGUGCGGGGGCGCGGCGGCGGUGUACUGCGCGGCGGAUGCGGCGNNN
rnacentral:lncRNA from 1 species